rnacentral:rRNA from 1 species
UGGGAUUCCUCAACGCAGACCGGUAUUAACGAUCUUUGCUUGGUAGUCCCUGACAGUAGUUUACAUCCCGAGGGACUUCAUCCUACACGCGGCGUCGCUGGAUCAAGCUUUCGCUCAUUGUCCAAUAUUCGUU